ACUUCAUGAUUUGGGUAUUGAUCAAUCUUACCACUAAACCUCUCCCAAGCUUUAAAAAAUAGUUCUCCAUUCAUUUGCUGAAAAUUUAUAAUUUCAUCCCGCUUUU
rfam:Capsicum annuum cultivar Zunla-1 chromosome 9, whole genome shotgun sequence